GCCCGCGUGGCGCAGUGGUAGCGCUCUGUUCUUAUAUGUGUUGGGGCAACUCAACAAUACUAUGGUAAUGCAGCUGUCGUGAGUUCAAUCCUCACCGUGGGCA